CCUACGGGUGGCAGCAGUGAGGAAUAUUGGUCAAUGGGCGAGAGCCUGAACCAGCCAAGUCGCGUGAGGGAGUACUGCCCUAUGGGUUGUAAACCUCUUUUGUCGGGGAGCAAAAGCCGGACGUGUCCGGCUGUGAGAGUACCCGAAGAAAAAGCAUCGGCUAACCCCGUGCCAGCAGCCGCGGUAAUACGGAGGAUGCGAGCGUUAUCCGGAUUUAUUGGGUUUAAGGGGUGCGCAGGCGGGUUUUUAAGUCAGCGGUAAAAUCGUGGGGCUCAACCCCAUCCAGCCGUUGAAACUGGGGAUCUAGAGUGUGCGAGAGGUAUGCGGAAUGCGUGGUGUAGCGGUGAAAUGCAUAGAUAUCACGCAGAACCCCGAUUGCGAAGGCAGCAUACCGGUGCACAACUGACGCUCAGGCACGAAAGCGUGGGUAUCGAACAGGAUUAGAUACCCCAGUAGUC
rnacentral:rRNA from 1 species